AUGGGCAGAUAGUGUCAUACCUGACUGUGACAUGGAAGAAAUCACACUUUGUACAGACAAUUGCUAUGGACAAAAUAAGAAUGUGAAUAUUAUAAUGUGUUUUUUCUGGUUACUGCAUCGGUAUCCACAAAUUAAGACCAUAACUCAGAAGUUUCUACUGAAAGGUCACACCAUAUGGAAGCUGACAGUGUUCAUGCGUUGAUAGAGAGGAAACGGAAGAAACUGAAUAAUAUGAGCAUUUUAAUACCCUGGGACUGGCAACAACUGGUAAGACAAACUUCUAGCAAGUACAUUGUUCAUAAUAUGGAAUUUCAAGAUUUUAAAAGUUUUAAUUUACUGUAUGCCUCAAAAGACUCUGCAAGGCUUCCCCUUGUUUAUAGAAAAAUGGAUAUUGAGAAAAGGCCAUUUCUUCUAUCAAAGUGUAUGCAAUUACACGUUAAACAGCAAAAUAA
rnacentral:lncRNA from 1 species